rnacentral:rRNA from 1 species
ACGCUGGCGGCGUGCUUUAACACAUGCAAGUCGAACGGUAAGGCCCUUCGGGGUACACGAGUGGCGAACGGGUGAGUAACACGUGGGUGAUCUGCCCUGCACUUCGGGAUAAGCCUGGGAAACUGGGUCUAAUACCGGAUAGGACCAUGGACUUCACGGUUUGUGGUGGAAAGCUUUUGCGGUGUGGGAUGGGCCCGCGGCCUAUCAGCUUGUUGGUGGGGUAAUGGCCUACCAAGGCGACGACGGGUAGCCGGCCUGAGAGGGUGUCCGGCCACACUGGGACUGAGAUACGGCCCAGACUCCUACGGGAGGCAGCAGUGGGGAAUAUUGCACAAUGGGCGCAAGCCUGAUGCAGCGACGCCGCGUGAGGGAUGACGGCCUUCGGGUUGUAAACCUCUUUCAAUAGGGACGAAGCGCAAGUGACGGUACCUAUAGAAGGAGCACCGGCCAACUACGUG